CUCUCAAGCCGGCGACACCCGUCCUCCGCCUGGCCGUGCGGUAGCCUGGCCAUGUGGGGUGCGCUGCCCCCCGCGGCCGCGAUGCAGGCUAGCCGUGUAGGGCCCGAAGCCGGUGGUGGGAGCUCCUGGGAGGCGACAACGGCCCCGAACGGCCACGCCUCCGCCUCCGCUCACUCCUUCCUCCUCCGUGCAGAUUGAGGCGCCCCGCCAAGGUUUCAAACAUGCUCCCCUUGCUGAAACGUGGCAUUGGCGUGCAUCAUUCUGGUCUGUUGCCCAUCUUGAAGGAAGUGAUCGAGAUUCUCUUCCAGGAGGGCCUCAUCAAGGUUAGCAAAUUUUAUGAAUCUUAUGAUGUCUUGAAUUGCUGUUAUUGCUGAGCCUCAAAAGUACCACAUUGCUGGUGGUAUAUCAACACUCAGCCAGCUACUUUUUUAUUUCGAGCAAUGAUAGUUAGGUGUAGAUGUUUCUAUAUACAUGUUGUACUUUUCUUUUUUUCUUCAAGCAAGAAUUUCAUGCUUCAAAAACUGAGGUGAUAGCUGUUGAUUCCUAGCAGAGAAUAGAUUCUGCUAGUUGCUACUGUGUUCUAAUUCCAUAAUGAGAUUGGAAUAAUUCUUCUUUGAGUAACACGUAAAAUGGAUAGAUCAGGGUUGGGACUAUGAUGUUGGAAUAAUUCUUCUUUGAGUCAUGUUCUUUUAUUCUUCUUCUC